CUGUCGCGGUAAUACGUAAAAGACGAGUGUUAUUCAUCUUUAAUCGGUUUAAAGGGUACCUAGACGGAAAAUCAAGCUUAAUUAAACUAAGGACUAGUUUUCUAGAGUUUGACAUGAGAAGGUACGAACUAUCAGAGGAGAGAUAAAAUUUGUUGAUACUGGUGGGACGGACAACGGCGAAGGCAAUCUUCUACUAAAAACUGACGUUGAGGGACGAAGCCUUGGGGAGCGAGAAGGAUUAGAUACCCUAGUAGUCCUUGGAGAAAAUUAUGAGUGCCAUAGACUAAAGUGAAAAAGAAGUUCUUUUAAAAGAACUUUGUAUCUGAGCCUUAAUUGGAUACAAAGGUCUCGAGUAGCAGUUUAUAAAUGAAAGUGUAAGCAUUCCACCUCAUGACUAAAGCGGCAACGCCCAAAUUGAAAUCAUUAGACCGUUUCUGAAACCAGUAGUGAAGUAUGUUAUUUAAUUCGAUAACCCGCGAAUAACCUUACCACGUUUUGAAUUUAUUAAACAAGUGUUGCACGGCUGUCUUCAGUUAAUGUCGUGAGAUUUUGGUUUGUUCCAUUAAUUAACGAAAACCCUUGUUUCAUUUUUAUAUGAAAUAGUUCACCGUUAUAUUGGAAAGAUAAAAGGGAUCAAGACAAGUCAUCAUGGCCUUAAUAAC
rnacentral:rRNA from 1 species